rnacentral:antisense_RNA from 1 species
AGCCAGCUACUGCUCCCUGAGUCACCAGGCCAGGCUGUGUCCAGAGAGGCGUGGAGACAGCCAGGAGCCAAGGCCAUGAAGCCAAAGGUCAUUUUAAAAAGCACUUCUGCUGCUGGCCCCAACUGGGGAGACAAAAGAAAGAUGGGAAAGAAAAAAUAAGGACAUGCCCAUAAAAUCUGAGAGUCUGAGCCUCACUGGUCUCUAGCAUGAACACAGAGCUUUAAACCAGAGGCUCGAUGAGAAACUUCCCACUGCCCCCCACCCUCCUCCUUCCCCUCACCCGUUAUCCCAAGGCAUCCUGGUCUCAGACUCAGCUCUUACCUGUUUCUGGCUCUGCUGGGUCCUUUUCCAUGGGUUCUGAAGGUGCGUCUUGGAGCUUUUUCUUCUGUGGGGCUGUGCUGGAGAAGACGCCAAUCGGAGCCCACUCCAGAUACAGGGGGACAUGGUGGAACUGCAGAGACAAGAGUGAUGGCCCUGUGGGUCUUCAUUACAACACACUGCUGGGGAGGGACUCAGUCCCAUGCACAUCACAGCCCAAGGGUCACAGAGGAUGGGCAACUCACCCAAGAA